rnacentral:rRNA from 1 species
AUUGAACGCUGGCGGCAGGCUUAACACAUGCAAGUCGAGCGAGCGGCGGACGGGUGAGUAAUGUCUGGGAAACUGCCUGCUGGAGGGGGAUAACUACUGGAAACGGUAGCUAAUACCGCGUACCAUAGGAUGAGCCCAAGUGGGAUGAGUUAGUAGGUGGGGUAAAGGCUCACCUAGGCGACGAUCACUAGCUGGUCUGAGAGGAUGAUCAGCAAAAUGGGGACGGAGACACGGCCCAGACUCCUACGGGAGGCAGAAGUGGGGAAUAUUGCACAAUGGGCGCAAGCCUGAUGCAGCCAUGCGGCGUGUAUGAAGAAGGCCUGAGGGUUGUAAAGUACUUUCAGCGGGGAGGCGUUACCCGCAGAAGAAGCACCGGCUAACUCCGUGCCAGCCGCCGCGGUAAUUC